CCUACGGGGGGCAGCAGUGAGGAAUAUUGGUCAAUGGACGAGAGUCUGAACCAGCCAAGUAGCGUGAAGGAUGACUGCCCUAUGGGUUGUAAACUUCUUUUAUAAAGGAAUAAAACGAGGCACGUGUGCCUUUUUGCAUGUACUUUAUGAAUAAGGAUCGGCUAACUCCGUGCCAGCAGCCGCGGUAAUACGGAGGAUCCGAGCGUUAUCCGGAUUUAUUGGGGUUAAAGGGAGCGUAGAUGGGUUGUUAAGUCAGUUGUGAAAGUUUGCGGCUCAACCGUAAAAUUGCAAUUGAUACUGGCAGUCGUGAGUACAGUUGAGGUAGGCGGAAUGCGUGGUGUAGCGGUGAAAUGCUUAGAUAUCACGAAGAACCCCGAUUGCGAAGGCAGCUUACUAAACUGUGACUGACAUUGAUGCUCGAAAGUGUGGGUAUCAAACAGGAUUAGAUACCCUGGUAGUC
rnacentral:rRNA from 1 species